rnacentral:rRNA from 1 species
AUGGAGGCUAUAUUAUGUUUCAUAGCUCUAUCCAUCCUAUUAUAUCUUUUGUUUCUCAAGUUCGCCGGCGGCCGGAGCAACAACCCAAGAAAGCCGCAGCUACCUCCUGGACCAUGGAUUCCCCCCAUCAUCGGCAGCUUCCAGCACAUCGUCAGCACCAUCCGGGAGUUGUGUCGCCGGCAUGGGCCACGGACCCUCCUCGAGCUCUGCAAGGACCCCACCAUUGCGGUCUCAAUCGCUGAGGUGGUCGGUCGAGUACGCUCCGUUGCGGCCUCGGCAGGCGCCGCUGUGGUUUAUGUCAAUAAGAAGGUGGCGGCGCUGAGCAACGACAUCACGAGCCUGGCGGUAUCCGAGGGGAUGGAGGAAUGGACAUAUAUACCACCGCGGGGCCGACAAGAUCAUUGA